CCCAUAAUAGACACCUGCGAUAAGUAUAGAGCUAUCAGGAAUAUUUAUUAUUCAGAACUGGAUAGGCCAAUACUGAGUUGAACAGUCUUUUGCGCCAGCAGCUCCACCAGUACUAACAUCGAUUUCUAAGAUAUUAGUCCCAAUCAAUAUUCUUACAUCUUCUGGACGAGAAGCCAAACAGCAAUGUGAUCUGAGAACUAUAGCAUCUGAAUUUGAACACCCAUGUUCGGAAGAAUUAUCUUUCGCCUCGCGAGCUAAGUUAUUCCACGUAACUGAACUUUGCGGUUCGUAAGGAGGACUGUCAUUUGGUAAAAUAGAUGCUACAACGUUUCCAUUAUUCA